CCUACGGGAGGCAGCAGUGAGGAAUAUUGGUCAAUGGGCGUAAGCCUGAACCAGCCAAGUCGCGUGAGGGAUGAAGGUUCUAUGGAUCGUAAACCUCUUUUAUAAGGGAAUAAAGUGUGGGACGUGUCCUAUUUUGUAUGUACCUUAUGAAUAAGGAUCGGCUAACUCCGUGCCAGCAGCCGCGGUAAUACGGAGGAUCCGAGCGUUAUCCGGAUUUAUUGGGUUUCAAGGGUUCUGAGGCGGCCUUUUAAGUCAGCGGGGAAAGUCUGUGGCUCAACCCUUGAAGUGCCGUUGACACUGGGGGGCUUGAGUAUGUUUGAGGUAGGCGGAAUGCGUGGUGUAGCGGUGAAAUGCUUAGAUAUCACGCAGAACCCCGAUUGCGAAGGCAGCCUGCCAAGCCAUGACUGACGCUGAUGCACGAAAGCGUGGGGAUCAAACAGGAUUAGAUACCCCUGUAGUC
rnacentral:rRNA from 1 species